rnacentral:rRNA from 1 species
CUACGUGCCAGCAGCCGCGGUAAUACGUAGGGUGCGAGCGUUAAUCGGAAUUACUGGGCGUAAAGAGUGCGCAGGCGGUUUUGCAAGACCGAUGUGAAAUCCCCGGGCUUAACCUGGGAACUGCAUUGGUGACUGCAAGGCUAGAGUGUGUCAGAGGGAGGUGGAACUCCGCAUGUAGCAGUGAAAUGCGUAGAUAUGCGGAAGAACACCGAUGGCGAAGGCAGCCUCCUGGGAUAACACUGACGCUCAUGCACGAAAGCGUGGGGAGCAAACAGGAUUAGAUACCCUGGUAGUCCACGCCCUAAACGAUGUCUACUAGUUGUCGGGGAUUAAUUUCCUUGGUAACGCAGCUAACGCGUGAAGUAGACCGCCUGGGGAGUACGGUCGCAAGAUUAAAACUCAAAGGAAUUGACGGGGACCCGCACAAGCGGUGGAUGAUGUGGAUUAAUUCGAUGCAACGCGAAAAACCUUACC